UCUGGUGUCCUAGGCGUAGAGGAACCACACCAAUCCCUCCCGAAUUUGGUGGUUAAACUCUACUGCGGUGACGAUACUGUAGGGGAGGUCCUGCGGCAAAAUAGCUCGAUGCCAGAA
rnacentral:rRNA from 1 species